GUUUUUUGGACUCUUCUUUGUUGUCCCCAAAUAAUUGUAGCUCAGAAACAAUAUUGAAGUUCAUUGGUUUAAUUUUGAAAUGUUGAUGUUUUUUGUGUUGAUUGUUUGUGCUCAUUUUGACCUUUGUUACUAUUGCUUUCUACAAUGUUCAAUUCACCAUUGUUCUGCACAUAUGUGCUUGCAUACAAGUGUCCAGUGGUUAUAUUCAUGAGGCAUUCAAGGGACUUGUACUAAAAGAUACAACUCAGUUCAGUAUGAAUUGCAUAUUUUAAUGGCUGAAAAUAUAUCUGAUCUCUUUCAGAACAUCACCUGUCUGUAAUCCACCUGCGUAAGUACUGGUCAAGGGGCUCAUCGGCUAUCAAGUUAUAGAUUUCAGUGGCUAAUAGAAGACACUGCUGAGGUCAGACGAGAGUGCAUCCUCAAAGGUCUGUGUGUGUACCUAAAUGAAGAUCCAGAGAAGCUGGUGAGGGAGUACAUGGACGUUGAUGAAUGUGCAGAAAUGGCCAAAGCCGAGACUGUCCUCGGAAUCGUCAUUUGAGCAGAGGGUGCAGAGGCUGCCGAUGCACAUCUGGAUGUUGGGAUUGUCCUGGAGGAGGUGGAAGUUAUGAACAGCUUGGGCAGUGUAUCUUCUGCAAUAGUGAUGCUGCUGGGACUAAUCUAUGCUCUAAACUUGAGCUACCCUCAAGUUUAGUGCGUUCAGCACUCAACUUGCUCAGUAACUCAAGCAUACCUUUGAAGUAAUACAGAAAAUAAUAAUGAAAUUGGAUGGAAAGAACUUAUCAAAGAAAGCACAAGUUCUCAAUAUGAAACUCGCUGCUAAGUUGAGCAAAGUUUCAUAUGGAAAAUGAGUGUUUAAAGUCUGCAGUAGAAAAGAUUUAUAUUGUUACAGUUCUCUAAGUUGAGCAACUAUACUGACAUGUUUUAUGUUGUAAAGAAUUGGCUGGGAAAUGAAACUGUAACCUUUUUGUAGUUGUUUUUUUAUUUCAAUGUCCAACUCAGCUGUGUUUUGUGCUGUGUAAAAAAACGAUGUAUAACAAUUCUGAAAAUACAAUUGUGUUGUACCUUU